ACGCUCGACACCUACGGGGCAGCAGUGGGGAAUAUUGCACAAUGGGGGAAACCCUGAUGCAGCGACGCCGCGUGAGCGAAGAAGUAUUUCGGUAUGUAAAGCUCUAUCAGCAGGGAAGAAACUGACGGUACCUGACUAAGAAGCACCGGCUAAAUACGUACCAGCAGCCGCGGUAAUCUGAGCGGGCUGGCAAGGC
rnacentral:rRNA from 1 species